rnacentral:rRNA from 1 species
GGCGAACGGGUGAGUAACACGUGGGUGAUCUGCCCUGCACUUCGGGAUAAGCCUGGGAAACUGGGUCUAAUACCGGAUAGGACGAUGGUUUGGAUGCCAUUGCGGAAAGUUUUUCGGUGUGGGAUGAGCUCGCGGCCUAUCAGCUUGUUGGUGGGGUAAUGGCCUACCAAGGCGUCGACGGGUAGCCGGCCUGAGAGGGUGUACGGCCACAUUGGGACUGAGAUACGGCCCAG